AUAUGAACUUGAGUUCUCGAGGAUGAAUUUCCAAAAGCUCUGCACUCAUCCUUGUCGUUCACAGAUCACAAAUGAACCCUUCCGGCAUCCAAAACUAACACACUAUCUGGUGAGACCAAAAUCUCCUUACUGAUUCAGUCUCGAUUGACGAGCAAGCCUGGCUAUGGUGUGAGAUAUAGAAGUCCAGCGCAUACCAGAGAGCGAUGAUAUAUUUAAAGCAGAAGAUGAUUGAGCAGUGAAUUUUGAAUCGCGUGAAUCUGCCGUUUUCAGUUGUUGAAUGUGGAGAGAGUGAACACGUGAACCCUAGUAUAGUAGUAUAUACUUGAAGGUGAGGGACACACACACACACAGAGGAGAGAGAGAGAGAGAGAGUAAUUUGUUUGUUUAUC